GAACUUGUAGCUCAAUAGCAGAGCAGCCAGUCGUAUUAUCCUAUACAGCUGUGCAUCUUGCGGGUUCGAAUCCCGCCAAGUUCU
rnacentral:tRNA from 3 species